CUUGGGGGUUGUACGGCCUUUUGGAGAAAGACUGCGGCGCCGUUUGGUCUUUAGUAGCAAUGGCUAAGGAUUCCAAAUAAUUUGAUCUGAGGAAAGAAGAGGAGCUUCACUUAACUGGCAGUUGAUCUUUUGUGUUCUUUAUUUGGCAGGGGAGGGUUGGUAAAAUGAUAAAUGCUGUUUAUAAGAUAAGCGUGGAGGUUUGGAAGCUUGGGCAUAUUUGACCCCCUUUUGAAACUUCCCUUUAAGUAAAUCGGGGUGGUGGGGAGCAGGUUAGAAAAGGAAGUUCUUAGGUAUGGCUCUAGAACCAUACUUUUUAUAAAGAUUUUAUUUAUUCAUGAGAGGCAGAGGGAGAAGCAGGCUCCACACAAGGAGCCCCAUGUGGGAAUCCAUCCUGAGCCAAAUGCAGACAGGCACUCAACCACAGAGCCACAAACCAUACUUUUAAGAAUCGGGACUGAUGCCUGCUAAAAUUGAGGAAUGUGAGCAGUACUGAGUAUGGGCAAGUCUAUUAAAACAGUAUGGUCCUUUCACCCACGAAACCAGAAGAUUCCAGAAUGCCUAUGAGGAGAAAACUUCUCUUUAAAAAAACUAAAAUAACUGCCUUUUUCCGAUAUUCUCAAGUUAAGUGGGUUUUCUAUUAAAGAUCCAGGUCUGUUUAUGAUGUACUUAUGAAUUAUAAUAAAGAUGACUG